AACGUAGGUCACAAGCGUUGCCCGGAAUUACUGGGUGUAAAGGGAGCGCAGGCGGGAGAACAAGUUGGAAGUGAAAUCCAUGGGCUCAACCCAUGAACUGCUUUCAAAACUGUUUUUCUUGAGUAGUGCAGAGGUAGGCGGAAUUCCCGGUGUAGCGGUGGAAUGCGUAGAUAUCGGGAGGAACACCAGUGGCGAAGGCGGCCUACUGGGCACCAACUGACGCUGAGGCUCGAAAGUGUGGGUAGCAAACAGG
rnacentral:rRNA from 1 species